rnacentral:rRNA from 1 species
CCUACGGGCGGCAGCAGUGGGGAAUAUUGGACAAUGGGGGGAACCCUGAUCCAGCCAUGCCGCGUGUGUGAAGAAGGCCCUCGGGUUGUAAAGCACUUUCAGUGAGGAAGAACGCCUGGUGGUUAAUACCCAUCAGGAAAGACAUCACUCACAGAAGAAGCACCGGCUAACUCCGUGCCAGCAGCCGCGGUAAUACGGAGGGUGCGAGCGUUAAUCGGAAUUACUGGGCGUAAAGCGCGCGUAGGUGGCUUGAUAAGCCGGUUGUGAAAGCCCCGGGCUCAACCUGGGAACGGCAUCCGGAACUGUCAAGCUAGAGUGCAGGAGAGGAAGGUAGAAUUCCCGGUGUAGCGGUGAAAUGCGUAGAGAUCGGGAGGAAUACCAGUAGCGAAGGCGGCCUUCUGGACUGACACUGACACUGAGGUGCGAAAGCGUGGGUAGCAAACAGGAUUAGAUACCCCUGUAGUC